GUUUCUUCGGAGACCUCUGAUGAAAUUUGAACAAUACAAAGAACAUUAACAUGACCCCUGUGCAAGGAUGAUACGCACAAAUCGAGAAAUUGUUCAAAUUUUU
rnacentral:snRNA from 1 species